GGUAGGUUGGCAGAGUGGUCGAAUGCGCUACCUUGGAAAGGUAGUUAGCUAGCAAUAGUUACAAGGGUUCGAAUCCCUUACCUACCU
rnacentral:tRNA from 1 species